rnacentral:rRNA from 1 species
AUUGAACGCUGGCGGCGUGCCUUACACAUGCAAGUCGAACGCGAAAGAGGGGCAACCCUUGAGUAGAGUGGCGAACGGGUGAGUAACGCAUCGGAACGUAUCCAGUAGUGGGGGAUAACCCAUCGAAAGAUGGGCUAAUACCGCAUACGCCCCGAGGGGGAAAGUGGGGGAUCCGCAAGGACCUCACGUUAUUGGGGCGGCCGAUGUCCGAUUAGCUAGUUGGCGGGGUAAGAGCCCACCAAGGCGACGAUCGGUAGCUGGUCUGAGAGGAUGAUCAGCCACACUGGGACUGAGACACGGCCCAGACUCCUACGGGAGGCAGCAGUGGGGAAUUUUGGACAAUGGGGGCAACCCUGAUCCAGCCAUGCCGCGUGAGUGAAGAAGGCCUUCGGGUUGUAAAGCUCUUUCGGCCGGAACGAAAUCGCAUCCUCUAUUACGGGGUGUGGAUGACGGUACCGGAAGAAGAAGCACCGGCUAACUACGUGCCAGCCGCCGCGGUAAAAC